rfam:Cyberlindnera fabianii strain 65 BON22_Sc11, whole genome shotgun sequence.
GCCAUUGUAGUAUAGUGGUUAGUACAGUUCGUUGUGGCCGAGCAAACCCAGGUUCGAUUCCAGGCAAUGGCA